AGAGUUUGAUCCUGGCUCAGGAUGAACGUGGCGGCGUGCCUAAUACAUGCAAGUCGAACGAAGGUUGUAGCAAUACAUCCUUAGUGGCGAACGGGUGAGUAACGCGUUGGUGACCUGCCCCGAAGUGUGGGAUAACAGUUCGAAAGGAUUGCUAAUACCUCAUGUUUUCAUUUGGAUUAGAUGCCAGAUGAACAAAGACGUAAGUCGCUUCGGGAGGGGCCUGCGUCCCAUCAGCUAGUUGGUAGGGUAAUGGCCUACCAAGGCGAUGACGGGUAGGGGACCUGAGAGGGUGGCCCCCCACAAUGGAACUGAAACACGGUCCAUACACCUACGGGUGGCAGCAGUAGGGAAUAUUGGUUAAUGUGCGAAAGCGCGAACCAGCAACGCCGCGUGCACGAUGAAGGCCUUCGGGUUGUAAAGUGCUUUUUGAGGGGAUGAGGAAGGACAGUACCCUCAGAAUAAGUCUCGGCUAACUACGUGCCAGCAGCCGCGGUAACACGUAGGAGACGAGCGUUAUCCGGAUUUACUGGGCGUAAAGCGCGUGCAGGCGGUUCAGCAAGUUGGAUGUGAAAGCUCCUGGCUUAACUGGGAGAGGUCGUUCAAAACUACUGAACUUGAGAGUGGUAGAGGGAGGUGGAAUUCCGGGUGUAGUGGUGAAAUGCGUAGAUAUCCGGAGGAACACCAGUGGCGAAAGCGGCCUCCUGGACCAUUUCUGACGCUCAGACGCGAAAGCUAGGGUAGCGAACGGGAUUAGAGACCCCGGUAGUCCUAGCUGUAAACGAUGUAGACUUGGCGUUGGUGGGGUUAAAUCCAUCAGUGCCGAAGCAAACGCGAUAAGUCUACCGCCUGGGGACUACGGGCCGCAAGGUUAAAACUCAAAGGAAUUG
rnacentral:rRNA from 1 species